AUGUCAUAUGAAAGGAGAGGUUAACUCUCCCCCUGACGAAGAUGAAAGGGUCUCAAGCCUCACAACAACGCAUGUAGUUAAGGCACCAGCACCCAGGUUGUGGCAUCUAACAGUUAUCUUUA